rnacentral:tRNA from 1 species
GCCGGUUAGCUCACUCGGUUGGAGCGUGGUGCUGAUAACACCAAGGUCAUGAGUUUGAUCCCCAUUUGGCC